rfam:Eutrema salsugineum unplaced genomic scaffold scaffold_5, whole genome shotgun sequence.
AGCAUGAUGAUGAGAAAAUUUUGUGCUCCUGAAAUCAAAUUCAUGUGGAUAUAAUAUAUAUACCUUCAAAGUUCUCUGAAUUGCU